UGGCGGACCGGCGCACGGGUGAGUAACGCGUAUGCAACUUACCUAUCAGAGGGGGAGUAGCCGGCGAAAGUCGGAUUAAUACCCCAUGAAACAGGGGUCCCGCAUGGGAAUAUUUGUUAAAGAUUCAUCGCUGAUAGAUAGGCAUGCGUUCCAUUAGGCAGUUGGCGGGGUAACGGCCCACCAAACCGACGAUGGAUAGGGGUUCUGAGAGGAAGGUCCCCCACAUUGGAACUGAGACACGGUCCAA
rnacentral:rRNA from 1 species